AUACUUACCUGGCAGGGGAGAAACCAUGAUCAUGAAGGUGGUUCACCCAGGGCGAGGCUCAGCCAUUGCACCUCGGUUGUGCUGACCCUUGCGAAUUCCCCAAAUGUGGGAAUCUCGACUGCAUAUUUUGUGGUAGUGGGGGACUGCGUCCGCGCUCUCCCCUG